AAGAUUCCAAGAAAAUUUUACCAGCAAUUGUAUUCAUUUCCAAACUUGAACACAAAUUCUUUACUGAUUUCUGGAACAAUCGUUUGGUUUAUAUUCUUUUCAAGAAGAUUCACAAAAUCAUGGAACUAUGAAUGACAACAAUGGGAUCAACACUACAGUGAAUCAGUGAUUUACAAAAAGACAAAGGUUAGUAGUACACAGAAAGUUAAUGGAAAUGUCUAAGAAACGUUGGUUACAAAAAGACAAACGUUACUAGUACGUUGAUUUGAUAUAUAUUAAAUCAAUUUGUAUAAAAUUAAUAAAAAUAAUAUAAAAUUGUAUAAUUAUCAAAUAUUUAACAUAAACAAUAUUUAUAAAAUUUGUAGAUAUGUAAGACUAAUGAUUUUACGAUUAGAUUUUUAAAUUUUUAAAAAAUUGUAGAAAUUUUUGAAAAUUUUAGUAAUACAAAUUAUAUAAAUAUACAAAAUAAUAAUAUUUCGAAAUUUGAAAUCUUAUAUAUGAAUAUAUUUAUUUAAUAGAGCCAUGUCAUAUUUAUUUUUUGAAAUUGAUUAUAAAAAGACAUGUGACAAAAUCACUUCGCAAAUAUAGUCCGGGAUUUGUUCAUUUUUUUUGUGCAUGACUAAACUAAUGCCAUUUAUCAACCAAAAGCUACAUUAUAGUUUUAUUAUUCUCUCUUUUGUGGGAUCGACUUUGUUUUUAGAGGCUCUUGUUUUAAAGUAUCAGUUUAUUAUAAACCCCCAUUGGUUGAAUUUCACUGGUAAUCAAAUUGUGGUGGGUCAUAAUAUUUGAUCUUGGAAAUCUUGUAAUGAUAAUAUAAGCAUCAUUUAUAUCAAAACCGAUAGACUUGAUGAGAAUACUUGGUACAUCGUGUAUUAGUGUAUAUACGAGUUGAUGAACCAAAGCUAUAAUAUCAAAUGCAAAACAUCAAUAUAUUAACAUUGGAAGUAACAAAAUUUGUUACAUAAACAUGUACUAACUUGUAUUAUAUGUAUAAAUAAGGUAUUAUACAUGUUAAAAUACAUAAAAAAAAUUCCCGCAUAUUCCCUGAUUUUUUUCCGCUUUUUCAAUAAAUCGCUAGGUGUUGGUGCGCCGCACGCGUAGCGUCUAGCGAGU
rnacentral:lncRNA from 1 species